rnacentral:rRNA from 1 species
GUGUCAGCAGCCGCGGUAAUACGGAGGGGGCUAGCGUUGUUCGGCAUUACUGGGCGUAAAGCGCACGUAGGCGGCUUAUCAAGUCAGGGGUGAAAUCCCGGAGCUUAACUCCGGAACUGCCUUUGAGACUGAUAGGCUUGAGUUCGGGAGAGGUAAGUGGAAUACCUAGUGUAGAGGUGAAAUUCGUAGAUAUUAGGUGGAACACCAGUGGCGAAGGCGACUUACUGGACCGAUACUGACGCUGAGGUGCGAAAGCGUGGGUAGCAAACAGGAUUAGAUACCCUGGUAGUCCACGCUGUAAACGAUGAGUGCUAGAUGUUGGGGGCCUUAGGCUUCCGGUGUCGCAGCUAACGCGUUAAGUUCUCCGCCUGGGGAGUACGGCCGCAAGGUUGAAACUCAAAUGAAUUGGCGGGG